AGUGAACGCUGGCGGUAGGCCUAACACAUGCAAGUCGAACGGCAGCACAGUAAGAUCUUGCUCUUACGGGUGGCGAGUGGCGGACGGGUGAGGCAUACAUCGGAAUCUACUUUUUCGUGGGGAAUAACGUAGGGACACUUACGCUAAUACCGCAUACGACCUACGGGUGAGAGCAGGGGAUCUUCGGACCUUUCGCGAUUGAAUGAGCCGAUGUCGGAUUAGCUAGUUGGCUGGGUAAAGGCCCACCAAGGCGACGAUCCGUAGCUGGUCUGAGAGGAUGAUCAGCCACACUGGAACUGAGACACGGUCCAGACUCCUACGGGAGGCAGCAGUAGGGAAUAUUGGACAAUGGGCGAAAGCCUGAUCCAGCCACACCGCGUGGGUGAAGAAGGCCUUCGGGUUGUAAAGCCCUUUUGUUGGGAAAGAAAAGCAGCAGGUUAAUACACCGAUGUUCUGACGGUACCUAAAGAAUAAGCACCGGCUAACUUCGUG
rnacentral:rRNA from 1 species